rnacentral:lncRNA from 1 species
CGCCACGCCACGCCACGGCGGUGAGGUCAGCGCGCGGCGCGGCUGUUGGCGCCGGUUAACGGUUGUUACGCGGAGCGGGAGGGGGAGCGGCACGCCUCAGCUCCAGGGCAGGCGCUGCACCGCCGCCCUGUGCCACCUGCGGGCGUCCGUCUCCCUCGUACGUCUCCCUUAAAAGGCUCUUCCAGGUUUUUACUAAACUGGAGAUGAGGGCUAGUGUGCCUGCGGCGUCCUGGGGAAGCCCCGCAGUCAUGGUGUUCUCCCUGAGAUCUUUUUUGGAGCAAGGAAUCUUAUCACAGGAUCUUCAGCAAGGCACUAACUGGAUUUGGCAGAAUUUAAGUGACUUGAUGGCUUCACAUCUAAACUGUAAAGAGAAACCAGCAGUAGAACCUAUGAGGAUGCUUGGAUUUGGAGUACCAGUAAAACUUCAGAUGGUCCCUUGGAAUCAGCUGAAACAUAGCAGUAAAUUUAAGCACAAAAUGAAUACAGAAAAGGUAAUUACAAACUGAAUUCAAUGUUCAAAUUUGGCAAAAAUCAACAUUUUUCCUGACCUUGGAAUUAAAGGUUGAAAAGUAAAAUCAGAGAUGUGUAAUCAAGACAAUUUAUAUUCUUUAGUGUAUUCAUUUGUAAAAUACUCUCAAAAGCAAUUAUUUCAGAUUGAAUAAUAGUUGUAAAUUUUAAAAAAAGGCAAAAUGUUAUAUCAUUGUGUGAAUACAUACAAUAAAGAAACAAUUGAGAGGCA